rnacentral:rRNA from 1 species
GACAUAGGGRGGRRRRRACUAACAAGGAUUCCCCUAGUAACUGCGAGKRARSSGGGAAAAGCUCAAAUUWAAAAUCUGGUGGUCUUUGGCCAUCCGAGUUGUAAUCUAGAGAAGUGUUACCCGCGUCGGACCGUGUACAAGUCUCCUGGAAUGGAGCGUCAUAGAGGGUGAGAAUCCCGUCUUUGACACGGACUACCGAGGCUUUGUGGUGCGCUCUCAAAGAGUCGAGUUGUUUGGGAAUGCAGCUCAAAAUGGGUGGUAAAUUCCAUCUAAAGCUAAAUAUUGGCGAGAGACCGAUAGCGAACAAGUACCGUGAGGGAAAGAUGAAAAGAACUUUGGAAAGAGAGUUAAACAGUACGUGAAAUUGCUGAAAGGGAAACGCUUGAAGUCAGUCGCGUCGGCCGGAAAUCAGCCUUGCUUUAGUGGGGUGUACUUUCUGGUUGACGGGCCAGCAUCAGUUUUGACCGGUGGAAAAAGUCUAGAGGAAUGUGGCAUCUUCGGGUGUGUUAUAGCCUCUGGUCGUAUACAUCGGUUGGGACUGAGGAACGCAGUUUAUACUUCGGAUGCUGGCAUAAUGGCUUUAAUCGACCCGUCUUGAAACACGGACCAAGGAGUCUAACAUGCCUGCGAGUAUUUGGGUGGAAAACCCGAGUGCGCAAUGAAAGUGAAAGUUGAGAUCCCUGUCGCGGGGAGCAUCGACGCCCGGACCUGAAGUUCUCUGACGGUUCUGCGGUAGAGCAUGUAUGUUGGGACCCGAAAGAUGGUGAACUAUGCCUGAAUAGGGUGAAGCCAGAGGAAACUCUGGUGGAGGCUCGUAGCGAUUCUGACGUGCAAAUCGAUCGUCAAAUUUGGGUAUAGGGGCGAAAGACUAAUCGAMCMUCYAAUWYUGUCCGCGAGGCCCCCC